rnacentral:rRNA from 1 species
CCUACGGGAGGCAGCAGUGGGGGAUAUUGCACAAUGGGGGAAACCCUGAUGCAGCGACGCCGCGUGGGUGAAGAAGCGCCUCGGCGCGUAAAGCCCUGUCAGCAGGGAAGAAAAUGACGGUACCUGAAGAAGAAGCCCCGGCUAACGACGUGCCAGCAGCCGCGGUAAUACGUAGGGGGCAAGCGUUAUCCGGAUUUACUGGGUGUAAAGGGGGCGCAGACGGCGAUGCAAGCCAGGCGUGAAAGCCCGGGGCCCAACCCCGGGACUGCUCGUGGAACUGCGUGGCUAGAGUGCAGGAGGGGCAGGCGGAAUUCCUGGUGUAGCGGUGAAAUGCGUAGAUAUCAGGAGGAACACCGGUGGCGAAGGCGGCCUGCUGGACUGCAACUGACGUUGAGGCCCGAAAGCGUGGGGAGCAAACAGGAUUAGAUACCCUAGUAGUC